AUACAUAUUUCUUCCUUUUUAAGAAAUGAAAAUGAUCCUAACUGUUUUGAACAUUAUACAAAAUACCAAUAGAACAGUGUAUCCGUAAACAUAAAACAAGAUAUACAAAAGACAAAUGGCAACUUGUGUCACAAAAACACAAUGUUCUUCGUGCAAUCAACUUUAUAUUAGGGGUGUGCAAAAAUAUGGUUAACCAAAUUAUAUGUUUAAACUGAAUUGCAUUGCACCAUAAAAUAACUAAACCACUUAAAUGGUUAAUGAACUGAACCAUUUAAAUUAACCAAUUAUAAUUCAGUUUAAA
rnacentral:lncRNA from 1 species